UCUUUUGAAAACUUUCACGACAGUUGGUGGAAGAGUAUGACAGGGAUAGUUACAGGGACGUAUCAGGAGAAGGCCCGAGGAGGGGAUUCCUCCCUCUCCCCCCAACCCCCACCCCACGUACCCUCUAGGACAAACAAAGGACAGGCGUAUCAGUUUGAAGAAAGCCUGGGGGGGAGGGGCGGCGGGGGAAGUAAUGUAUACUGACAAUCAAGUGUAUCCCGAGCCCUUUACCGUGAAAUAUCGAAACUUUUUCGUCGUUCAAAGCGAAACUCUCUGCCCUGUCGCCCCUCACUCUUAACUGUUCAGGUCCUUGUUGUGCUCAUGCGUACUUAGGAGAAAUUUAGUUUAAAACGACAUAAAUGCAAUAAAUAUAUUUGUUUUAAUCGGCUCAGAGUACCUUUUGGUUAUAUCCAAGGAUCAUUCCAUAAGUUACGGCAACAGUAACAUACCGCGCGUACGUGAGGCAUCACCACAAUCGCAGUAAAUAAAUUCGGGAGCUCGCGGCAGCCAUUACCGAAAUCAAUCGACAGAUUGCGAUCACAUGCGAGGAUGGCUGGUACAAGCGCCUGAAACGUUCAGUGUGAGGUUGGCCGUGCUACAAGAUGGAUCUUCUCCCACCCAUCCUAUUGGUCAGAUCUUACUCCAUGCGACUGUGAUGUUAUUCCGCAAGUAAGGAAACAAUUGCGUGGGAUGUGCUCUGCAAAACAAGGGAAAACUAUGCUAUGCUAUGCGUGGAGCGCGGGCAGAGCGGAGUUUGGCUGGAGUAGGGCUGUGGAGCAGGUGUGUUGAGUGACGCUCCCGCGAGUUACCGCGCUUCCGGGGUUUGGCAACAUGUAAUUGCCCUCGACUUGCUAUGAUAGUUUCUGGCACGGAGUCGCGGACGGGAAGCAUUAGCUGGCUCACAUCAAGAGCCCGUUUCGCCUGGUGACCGUCACGAGAAGAAGGCGCGCCAACAUCCAGCUUCUGCAACAGCUACGGCCGACAAUGAAUGAUUGUCUCUACCUCCUCGACCGACGACUGCAAACCUUUAAUCAACCAACAAGGAAGACUGAAAGCACGUCAAGUUUUAGAACUGUAUGGCAGACCUCAGCUUUUCAAAGUAUUCAAUUAGUAUCACUAAAAUAUAGCAACUUAGCAUGAA